GUGCCCGGCCAGAUAAGUCCUUUUGAAGGAAUCAUUUGAAUUGCUAGGGCCCUGAUUUCUAAGGGAGCAGGUCUCCAGGCAACUAGAGGAACAAGGAAGGAUUCAAAUGUCCCAAGGGCUUGGGCCUCCACCCUAGCCCCCGCUUCUGUUUAAACAUAAUUGCUGGGCAAAGGACUGGGAAACAGAACCGGCACAUUCAGAUUUAAAAAUCCAUCACUCACUCAGGUAUAGAUCCUGGGCACUGAUUGGUUAAAAUAUAGACAUAAAAAAGGUAAGAGAUGUCACUGGAUAUAUGAAACCUAAACAACUGAACAUAUUGCUUGCUUGUGGGAAAGUGGGUAGUCAGGCCCAGUCUCACGGAGCAGAGUGAACUGCUGGCUGUCUCUAGGGUUGGGGCUUGUUGGUCACAAGGCCAGCCUGGCUGAUGUCAGCAGCAAGGCUGCCCUGAUGACUCAAAACCAGCUCUAGGCUUACUGGGAACGAGAGCUACGGAACCGUCCUGUGUUCCCAGGGCUGCGGGGACCGUAAUCCUCACUGUGGCGAGUGCCAUUUCUCCACUGCUAGAUACGACAGGACUUUUUGGUCAGAUUUAGGGCAGAGGAGCAUCAGGACCAGAGUCAGACAACCUCUAUGAAACCACGGACCACACGGAGCAUCGGCGCACCCGGCCACUCCAGCUGUCCCCUUACGCCUAGGAACGCACACCUGCCCCUUUAGAAAUCAAAUGUUGAUAGGAAUGAGUUCCCAGUGCAACCUCGGAAGCCAGGUGCUGAAGAUGACACAGGCCCAUGAGAUAGGAUCCGAAAGACCGCACCGAGAGGGACAGCCUGCUGACCCACUGGGACAGUGCCAGGACAUAAGCAAAACUUAACUGCUACUGCAUUUAAACCUCAGUCCACUUGGGUCUACUAGUGUAGCCCACCCAACCAUUAAGGGUAGAACUGACCACAGUCACAUUAAGAUCUGAUAUAAACAAGUGGGACUAUAUCAAACUAAAAAGCUUCUGCACAGCGAACAAAAAGGCAACCUACAGAAAGGGAGAAAAUAUUUCCAAACCAUGUAUCAAAUAAAAGGUUAAUAUCCAAAAUAUAUAAGGAACUCAUUCACCUCAAUAGCAAAAAAGUGAGUAACCCAAUUUAAAAAUGAGGACAGAGCCUGAACAGAGAUUUUUCCAAAGCCUCCUUCCUGCCUCCCUAGAAAUGUACAGAUGGUCAACAGGUAUAUAAAAAGGUGCUCAACGUCACUAAUCAUCAAGGAAAUGCAAAUCAAAACCACAAUGAGAUGUCACCUCACACCUGUUAGGUUGGCUAUUAUGAAAAAGUCGAAAGAUAACAAGCCUUCCCUUGUAUGGGACUGUUAGAUAAGAGUUCUACAUUUAUUUUCAAAGGAUAUGUCAGUAUGUUCAAUUAUUUGGCUUCUACUUUCAAACUUCCUCGUAAAGCAACCUUUUUCAAUUACCUGCUCCACCCUGACUCAUUCUGAUCACCUGCUCCACCCUAACUCAUUCCAAUUACCUGCUACCUGCUCUGCCCGGACUCCCGCCAAAGUGCUCACCCCAUCACUCUCUUUAAAUUCGCCAGUUGGAAUUAGUUUAGCCUGUGCGGUCUAACCCUGGCCAAUAGGGGAAUGACACAGCCGCAGGGGCCACGUGCGUCAGGGAUAAGAACCCUUUCUC
rnacentral:lncRNA from 10 species